UGGGCUACACACGUGCUACAAUGGAUGGUACAAAGGGCUGCAAGACCGCGAGGUCAAGCCAAUCCCAUAAAACCAUUCUCAGUUCGGAUUGUAGGCUGCAACUCGCCUACAUGAAGCUGGAAUCGCUAGUAAUCGCGGAUCAGCAUGCCGCGGUGAAUACGUUCCCGGGCCUUGUACACACCGGCCCGUCACACCACGAGAGUUUGUAACACCCGAAGUCGGUGGAGUAACCGUAAGGAGCUAGCCGCCUAAGGUGGGACAGAUGAUUGGGGUGAAGUCGUAACAAGGUAGCCGUAUCGGAAGGUGCGGUUGGAUCACCUCC
rnacentral:rRNA from 1 species